GGAGUUAGCCGGUGCUUCUUCUGCGAGUAACGUCACAGAUGUAAGGUAUUAACUUACACCCUUUCCUCCUCGCUGAAAGUGCUUUACAACCCGAAGGCCUUCUUCACACACGCGGCAUGGCUGCAUCAGGGUUUCCCCCAUUGUGCAAUAUUCCCCACUGCUGCCUCCCGUAGGAGUCUGGGCCGUGUCUCAGUCCCAGUGUGGCUGAUCAUCCUCUCAGACCAGCUAGGGAUCGUCGCCUAGGUGAGCCUUUACCUCACCUACUAGCUAAUCCCACCUGGGCUUAUCCAUCAGCGCAAGGCCCGAAGGUCCCCUGCUUUCCCCCGUAGGGCGUAUGCGGUAUUAGCAGUCGUUUCCAACUCGUUAUCCCCCACAAAUGGGCAAAUUCCCAGGCAUUACUCACCCGUCCGCCGCUCGUCAUCUUCAAAAGCAAGCUUUUGAAAUGUUACCGCUCGACUUGCAUGUGUUAGGCCUGCCGCCAAGCGUUCAAAUCUGAGCCAUAAUCAAAACUCUGA
rnacentral:rRNA from 1 species